rnacentral:lncRNA from 1 species
UCGAAGCAGAUAAUGUGAACUCAAUUUAAGAUGCAUGAGAGAUAAAUCAAGUAGAUAGUUUAAUUUAUCAAGCAUGUAAAGAAACACAAGUCAAUUAAAGCAUGUUUCGGAUUCUUAAGACCAUUCAAGUGUCAUCUAACUUAUAAUUUCAGUGACAAACUCAAAGUAUCACAACAUUAGUCUGUUAUAUGACAAUAAAACACAGACACCUUCCAUCCGUGUUUCAAUAUUAUGCACACAAAUGGUGCUGGAAUAUAUCGGGAUGCCAUCCACAAUGACUGCCGUACAUCCCCAAACAGUUAGGCCAAUGUAUACCGUCAAAGAUCCAAGACGGCUGCCAUACUAGACAAAUCACAUUCUUUGGUUUCUCUUUUCAAAAUCAUGGCCAUUGGUCGAAAAUCAUUUCUUUAUGUAGUACAUCAAGGACCCAAGAAGGUUGUCGUACAACUCCCGCACUUGUAGACGACACACGCUUGUCGCUAUGUAUAUUAUUUCGAGUCAUGGCCUAAUAGAUGAAUUUCCCUUUAUUAAUGAAGUGUCCAAUUUCAUGUGUUAAGUGAAAAUCAAGAGAUACGAGCACAACAAUAUGUUCGAAAGCAUGUUAAAACACUUCAUGCACAUCAUAUAAAUAGUAUGGUGCAUUACGCUAUAGCACAGAGAUUAAAAAUCAUAGACACUUUUUUAUAUAACUCAAAACGUAGCAUUUUAGGCGAUUUUAUCGUUUAGUCCCAACCAAAGAGUAAACCAUGCAAGAUUGUCCGUCACAUGCAUGUAAUCUCAUCAAGUUACUAUACCGAAACUACAUAUUAAUUUUGAGAACACACAAGAAGGUAGAAGCUAAGCAUACCUCGAAAUCUCUUUAAAUAAGCUAAAUAUCGCGCCGGUUGUCCAAUGAUGCCCAACAAUGUCAAUCUACAUAUAUAAAUUCAUGGAUGUCAAUAACGUGUCACAUCGCUACUAAUUUAACCAAGUGUUCUACACUUAGACUUAGUUUCCAAAAAUUCCAUAAUCCUCCGUUUUUAGGUGAUACCAUGGUUAAUCACCUUAAAUAAUUCCAACAAUUGCGUCAAUACAUUCAUUAGUGUCGUAUAAGUUUUCCAUUAAAAACCCAUAAGCACUAUUCAUCGUCUCCUCACCAACCUCGCAACCUCCAUUAAUGUCAAGUUAGGGCUUUGCACUUAUUGUCAAUCCAACCACCAGCCAACUCAAAUAAUACCUUUUACAACCAUAUGUACUCAUAAAUAACUCAUAUUUAUUGUUCACAAGUGUAGAAAUUAGCUUCUUGAAUAAAAACUAAAAAAUCAACUUUAGGGAUUUUAAAGCACCUUGGUGUUCUUGUUGAAAUCUAGCCAAUCCAAAGAUAUAUUGAUGUAAGUGUUAACUAACUUUAAUUAACACAAAAUAUAGGACAAAACUUACCUUGGAUGGCGUUGGAAGGGGUCUUGGCCGAGAGCUCUUGAAGAACUAAACUUAGCUAUUUGUUUGGUUUCU